rnacentral:rRNA from 1 species
UACGUAGGGUGCAAGCGUUGUCCGGAAUUAUUGGGCGUAAAGAGCUCGUAGGCGGUUUGUCGCGUCUGCCGUGAAAGUCCGGGGCUCAACUCCGGAUCUGCGGUGGGUACGGGCAGACUAGAGUGCGGUAGGGGAGAUUGGAAUUCCUGGUGUAGCGGUGGAAUGCGCAGAUAUCAGGAGGAACACCAAUGGCGAAGGCAGAUCUCUGGGCCGUAACUGACGCUGAGGAGCGAAAGCAUGGGGAGCGAACAGG